rnacentral:rRNA from 1 species
UGGGGAAUAUUGGGCAAUGGGGGCAACCCUGACCCAGCGACGCCGCGUGUGGGAAGAAGUCUCUCGGGACGUAAACCACUGUUGUGCGGGAAGAAGUCAGUGACGGUACCGCACGAGGAAGGCCCGGCAAACUACGUGCCAGCAGCCGCGGUAAUACGUAGGGGCCGAGCGUUGUCCGGAAUUACUGGGCGUAAAGCGCACGUAGGCGGUUGUAUAAGUCGGCUGUGAAAGUCACGGGCUCAACCUGUGAAAGUCAGUCGAUACUGUACGGCUGGAGUCUUGGAGAGGGAAGCGGAAUUCCCGGUGUAGCGGUGAAAUGCGUAGAUAUCGGGAGAACACCAGUGGCGAAGGCGGCUUCCUGGCCAAAGCUGACGCUGAGGUGCGAAAGCUGGGGGAGCGAAC